CCUUGAUCUUAGUUGCCAUCAUUUAGUUGGGCACUCUAAGGUGACUGCCGGUGACAAACCGGAGGAAGGUGGGGAUGACGUCAAAUCAUCAUGCCCCUUAUGACCUGGGCUACACACGUGCUACAAUGGACGGUACAAAGAGCUGCAAGACCGCGAGGUGGAGCUAAUCUCAUAAAACCGUUCUCAGUUCGGAUUGUAGGCUGCAACUCGCCUACAUGAAGCUGGAAUCGCUAGUAAUCGCGGAUCAGCA
rnacentral:rRNA from 1 species